rnacentral:rRNA from 1 species
UUUCGCAUUCGACUUAAAAAGAAGAAGAGAUGCGCCACGAAUCGUGCAGGCCUUUUUUUAGAUGGUGCUGGCAAAACUAAGCCAUGGAUUAAAAGCACAAAGGGAAGGCUUCCCAAGUAUCUUUAGCAUGCACAACACCCGUACAACUAUUGGAGCACCCAACGAUAAAAAUGAUUGGCAACACAACGUAGCGAUCAAAAUACCAAGGUUUCCAACAUUGUACCCCCACAAACACUUGGAUAAGAGGAGGGGCGGUACAAACAACAUCAUUGAUCAUUCUUAUUCCGAAGCGGGUCCGUUUUCCACGAAGGCAACAUGAAACCUAGCGAAAUUCGACGCAAGGCGAGAAAAGUUAUGGUGCUCGUCAGUUGGCCGCAACAAAGCGGGGAGCCUGACGUAGCACACACAUCAACAACCACUCACAUGCCGUCACGGUCACAACCCAGCAAGGCCCUCCGCCUUUCCCCCAAACGAAGAAAAA